rnacentral:tRNA from 1 species
GGCCUGGUAGCCAAGUAGUAAGGCGUCGGUCUGCAAAACCGAUAUUGCGUGGGUGCAAUUCCCACCCAGGCCUCC